UUUAAGAUCGAGUUCAUAUCCUGUAUAGAAAUAUGACAAAUAUGGAUGUUUUCUAAUCUUCAUCUCAGUGUAUUCAUGCUCCAACAAUGAUAUAAUUAUGAUAAGAUAUGAUUAUCAUAGUAAUGAUGUUAGUAGCAGCCAACUCUUGAGGGCGCUUUUCUGUUUUACAAUCCAACAUGGCAGCCUCCUUGAGUGUUUUCUGCUGUGUUGUUUUCAGCCCAUCACGUUGACAUCCAUACUGCAGCAGGCCUAAUUAUAUAGAAAGGUUGAAAGGCGGUCAUAAUUUUUCCUUGGAAGCCUAGCCUAUACAGCCUGGAGCCCUGGUUCUUGUGAUAAUAAUAACAGCUCUCACCACGACACUACAAUUCACGUGUAUCCAGUACCACAUGGUAGGCCUAUCAAAAAAUAGUCACAGAAUCAGAUUGUAUUCAUUGAAGA